UUCUAUUCGAUAUCACAUAAUUGGGAUUUUUGAUUAAUAUAAUAAAUUUUAUAGAAAAAUUUAUUUCUCAAAAACUUAUUUCUGAGAAUUCUUUGUUCUUAUAUAAUAUGUUCUUAUAUUAUCAGAAUUGUUUAAAAUGUUUUAUUAAGAUAUUUUAAUAUAUGAAAUAGAAUAUCUUGAUUAUUAAGAUAUUAAAAAUAAUUGUAAAUUCUUUUCUACAAAGCUUCUCAAUUAUUUCUAGUAUAUGUUCUAAUAUAUGUGCAAUUAAAAUUUGAAUUCGAGAACUUUGCAAAAGAACGUGGCACAUUCAUUUAUAAAAUUAUUACCUAAUAUUCUAAUAUUUGAAAAAUGACACUAAUUGAAACAAAAAUGUUUUCACAUAAUAAGUGAUAAAAUUUUAUUAAAUUCUUGGUAAAUUAUUCAAAUUUGAAGCUGUCUUUAAUUAUUACUAAACUAUAAAAAAAAAUAAUAGACAAUAGUUAAUGGACAAUACAACACAUCAUUUAUGGUUACUUUGUUAAUCAAAAAUAUCAUCUUUUGUUAGAUGCAAGAGAGAAAAAGAAUUUGCAUUCUCUAUUUCAUAAAACAAUUCAAAAUCUUUAAAAAAUUAUUUGUACCUUAGAAUAAAGAAUUACAUACUUCAUUUAGAUACAGAAAAUGUAUUAAUAAUAACUCAAAAUCUAUUAAAGAUGGAUCUGCCCUCUUGCUGCAAUGUUCUCAAUUAAACGUAUACGCGAAUAUCAACAAAGUAUCUCUCGGUUUAUCAGUCGAUCAAAUAAAAAAAAAAAAAGAAAGAAAGAAAAGAAAAGAAAAAUAAUAUAUUGUCUACACAGAAAGAGAAGAAAAUGAUAUUGAAAUAAUAAUUGGAUUGAAACAUGAAUAAUUUGUGAAAGAAUAUACGUUUAACUCUUAACAACUUACUUGGAUAUAUUGAAAUUAAUGUUACACCCUGCAUCAUACAUUCCUCCAUCAAACAAAAGAGACUACAGAACUUUCUUUCUAACGGAAGCGUUAACAUCACAGGCAGGCUGGCAUCAAUAUGGCUGCCAGCAGUUUUUUUAUUUUCCAACCAAACAAGAAAAUUUCACUUGUGCAUACAACAUUACACCGCUUGUGUAUAAAGUAUAUAUAUGUAUGUGUGCAUGUAUGUAUGUAUGUAUGUACUUACUGUAUGUAUACGCGUGCGUGUGUGAGUGUACAUAUUAAGAGUGGUUCGGAUGUGAAUAAAUAAUCCUCUUAACGUUCUCGUUUCAAGGGGAACGAGCAGAUGCGGAUUAAAUAAUUUGGCCUAAUGCGAACAUUUUCUGCCGUUAAUUCUCAUCUUCCAAUCCGAGUGUGAAUCUGAAUCACUGAAAAAAAAAAAAAAAA